rnacentral:rRNA from 1 species
UGCCGGUAAUAAACCGGAGGAAGGUGGGGAUGACGUCAAAUCAUCAUGCCCCUUAUGACCUGGGCUACACACGUGCUACAAUGGCUGGUACAACGAGCGGCAAGUCGGUGACGGCAAGCAAAUCUCUUAAAGCCAGUCUCAGUUCGGAUUGUAGGCUGCAACUCGCCUACAUGAAGUCGGAAUCGCUAGUAAUCGCGGAUCAGCACGCCGCGGUGAAUACGUUCCCGGGCCUUGUACACACCGCCCGUCACACCA